rnacentral:rRNA from 1 species
GACGAACCGUGCGAACGUUAUUCGGAAUCACUGGGCUUAAAGCGCGUGUAGGCGGGCCGCCACGUCGGCUGCUGAAAUCCCCCGGCUCAACCGGGGAAGGGGCACCGAUACGAGCGGCCUGGAGGGGGGUAGGGGGGUCUGGAACUUCCGGUGGAGCGGUGAAAUGCGUUGAGAUCGGAAGGAACGCCCGUGGCGAAAGCGAGGCCCUGGACCCUUACUGACGCUG